AAACAGUAUGAUAAAACUCGUAAAGGUAAUUCAAACAUUCAUCUACAAUGAAUUGUUGGUACCCCUUAAGUAUCAAUACUAUCAAAUUGCCAGAUCAAUUGCAUAUAUUAGUUGAAUUUAGGAAACUAGGCCCUCAGUGGUUUCUCGUCAUUCAUACCAGUUGAUUUUGCGUCAGGGAAAACAGUGCAAGGGCUUUCCUACCUCUUGGAUGAUACUAAUGAAUUAGACGGGGGUGUAUCAGAAUAAAAGAAUAAAUUAAUCACCAAACUAUUUGCUUUGUGGCUCAUCAGACAUGAACAGCGCCUUGCUUGGAAACCAGCCAGGAGAUGGCAGGCGUCCGAGAUUACGCACUGCAUUAAGUCGCGCAGGACCAGGCUGCAGAUAUGAUGACGGGCCAAGAUGGCGGAACAUCAAAAACAGAAAAACUGAGCGCGAUGAGGGUAAAUCCGGAUCUGGACUCCUUUCCCACCAUCAGCAGAAGAACCGAAGGAGAAGAAGCGCCGACCAACAACCAGAACAGGGUGGAAGCUCUGACACCACAGCAGCUGGAGGACACAGACCACAGCAUGGACGCCUCACAGACUCCCACAACGUCUGCAGCCAUCACGUUCUGGGCUCAUCAGAUGAACCAGCUACUACAAGCCCUGCACCAGCAUGAAAGGACUGUGUCUGAAGCUUCUGAAGCCGUGAAAGUGUCAUACACGCGUGUGUGUCUGACACAGACACCUGCUUAUGACAAUCAGCAAAGGAAAACAAGGACAGAGCAACAGCAGAGAAGACGUGCUCUGACACAGACACUGGUUGAAACAACAGGAGAGGCUUCAGACGUGAUCGGCCCAAAAGAGCUGCAUGCGAGGAUCCAGGAAAGGUCUGUCAUCGAGGAACAACUGUCCCAUUGAAAGGCUUCACCCACUGGCGCUCACAUCAGACUGAUGGUUGGGGAAGGAGGAAGGUGACGGUUCCUUUUCACGUGACGUACAAGACGGUACCGCAAACACACACACACAUUCAUACACGCAAUGAAGAAACACGCUUACAGCUGAUACACGCUCAAAUUCAUGUUCAUGCUUAUCUGCUCGCAAUGAAGAAUCGCUUUUUGCUCAAAAAAAUCCCACAGAGUGAUUUUCAAAUUAUGACAAACAGCUAAAUGACAACUGCUGCAUGACUUUACAGUCUGAUGGGUUCAAACUAUUUUAACUUGCAACAAAUUCAGUAAUAAAAUCCUCCAUGUUUCUAAAAGGGUUUGUGCACAAUAUAGGUUUGUCUGGCCAGACUAGAAGACUAUAGGAAACAAAACAGACUAUAGAAAAACAAAACAGACUAUAGGAAAACAAAACAGACUGUAGAAAAAACAAAACCAGACCAUAGGAAGACUGAGACUGACUGAAACAGACUAUUAAUGACUAUUAAAGGGAAGACGACUAUUAGAGAGAAGUAAUAAUAAUUACUGUACGUACCAGACUAUUAAAGAAAACUUAUUUUUUCACUGUCUUAUGCAACAUCUGACAGCGAGACACCUUGAGAUUUAUUGUUGCUUUCAAAUUUAUGCCCAGUUAAAUUUUUAGGAAGAGAUCUCAUGUAGUUUAGAUAUUUGAUUGAUUUCCACUCCAGACGGAGUGCAGGUUACAUCUACAGACAUUCUAAAUAAUCCCUCUUUUGUUGGUGUUAACUUCAGCUCAGCUGUGCUCUUAUCAUUGGCUGCUGAGGGGGGGCUGUAACUGAGGCCCUCACACAGGCUGCAUCACAGCUUGUUUAUGAUUUCACACACACACACACACACACUGACAAACUGACCUCAACUUCCCUCUUUUGGGAUGAACACAGGUCUGCGCUUGCGAUUUUUUUUACUAACGAACAAAAAAGAUUUUUGAUGUUUAUUCUACAGUUCCACACGUCCCUCUGUGAAAACAUGAUGGAGACAGACGCAGGACGUGGGUCCUUUCGUGAACAGAUGUGAACGGGGUGGAGACUGGUGAACGACUUCUGACCCCAUGUGACGUAUUCACCUACUUUGCAUAGUUUUAGAAAACUUAUUUUUAUUCUGCCUGUUAUGUGCAGCAAACAGUGAACUUGGUACCUCCACAUUCUAAUGACACACUACAUGUUUUUAUUUUCAUUUUUCAGAGGACGCUCUGAGCCAACACUCAGCCUUACAGGAAGCGCUGUUUCCCUGUGGCUCACACACAGACAUGAUGUAGGUUUGAUCAGAGGAUGUGAACCAGUGGUCAUCACACCUAAAUCUGACCACAGACCAUGUAAACAACACCACCCUCUUAAAGGAGCCAAAGAUGGCGUUACUGCAGACACCGCUAAGAUACUGAAACAUUGGAUGCUACAGGCCACAAAGAGCCUGUCUAAAUUACACUUUGUUCAGACAAAGGUUAUUUUCUGGGUCAUUGUAAUUACAGCUGAUGGCAAAUCCAUCUCACCCAACAGAGUUAAAGCAAUUUGAAACCUGCCUAAACCGUGCACGUAUAAACAGCUGAUGUUUUUUCUAGGUCUUUGUUCUUAUUGUAGGACUUUCAUUCCUAACUUUACUGUCUUUGAGGCCCCACUCAGGGUUCUGAUGCAGACGUCUUCAUCGUCCACUUCUUGUCUCACGUGGACGUCUGAGGCUGAACAACGUUCACUGACCUCAUGCUUGCUCUUCAGUCGACUCCUACUUUGGGUCUCCCUGAUCUGACCCUACGCGACCUUUCACUCAAACAGUGGAUGAGAAAUCAGGUUGUACGACUUCUGUUCUUUUGUCCUCAUACUGUCUUUGAUUCUUUUGGAAUAGAUCACAUCUUUCUACAGCCAGAUGGCUUAGAUACAACACCACCUUGCUCAACAUGCUGAAAAUUACUAUCAAGAGUCCGUCGUGAAGUCUGGCGCUUUGCAAAGACACUGCUCUGCUCAGGCUGCAGAGUUGAUCGUAUUGACUGAAGCUAGUAAACUAGCAGAAGGAGAGACUGUUACCAUCUACAGACUCCACAGAUGCUUGUCACACGUUGGUUCUCCUUGGAAGCAUGGGAAGCUUUUGAAGUCUGAUUGCAAACCUAUCUCACUUCAUGAUUAGGUUCUGCUUUGCUGGACGCUGUCCUGCUGCUUACAGCUAAUGCUGUUUGUAACUGUCCAACAUCAGUGACGACUUUGUUUCUGUCGACAUGCAGCUGCAGACGCUGCUGCGAAGGUCGCUGCCCAACAACCCCUCCCUCUCCUGAUCCUCGUUUCCUCUUGUUCCCUCUCCAACUCUCUCUAUCCUUUCCUUCCUCAUCUCCCUGUGCUUUAAACAUUUUCUACCUCACAGGAACGCAGACUCUGGCUGACGCAUGGUUCCACCUGUAGCCAUGGAGUCUGGUUUAGGCCUGAUGGCAGCCGUGCCGCCCAAACACCUUUUCCCCAUAAUUCAGAUUUCCCAACAGGUGAAAACAGGCGACAGGACCAUUACACCAUCCAACGAGGGGACUGGCGAUCGUUAAGGAGUUCAGGAGGAAGCGCUGGGACUCCAAACGGUGGCGAAGCCCCUUCCAGGUCCUUCUGACGACCAACACGACUGUGAAUGUCGCAGAAAGAGCGACUUGGAUCAACUCCAUCCAGGAAGGUCCCGGAUCCGACAGACGACCCUCCAUCUACACCACACGGAGAAAACCACCACUGACAUAAAGAACUGAGAAGGACGACCCUCGCUGUGCUCACACACGCACUGAGGCGAGGCUGCGUUGACCGUUCAGCUAAAGGUGUGAGCCAAGCGCCGCCUGAAGCUGCGCCGGUGAAUCACACUAUCAGACCAUACAUCUACACACACGCUCCUGAGAAAACACACACACGAGCAGCCUUGAGUUGCCGACGCUGGACGACGUGUAGACUCUUCACAUCAUGGGAGUGACAGUGACUCAGACGACAUUGGGAGGAAACCUGGCGGUGAUAACGAAUCCCAAAUGUCUCUGUGAUCAGCUGAUCACAACCUGAAGAACUCCAACGAACUGACAAUACUUCAACACACAGGUUGGAAACAAUCUAACGCUACUGUUCAACAGGAAGAAGCAGAUUGUUACAAGACAUCAAUUGUAACCUUGUUUUGUUAAACUUCAUUUUAUGUUACAUGGAUUGUUGUCUUUAUCAUAUGAUGUUUCUAUGUAACUUUACACACUACUUUUGAAUGAGAAAAUUCACAACAACAACAACACUGAGUUUAAAUAUCCUGAAGUUGACUUGGUGUUUAAUUUGCUCACAAUCACUUUAUUCACUGCUACAAUUAGUUCUAUCCUUCAUCUACAGAUGAAAGACAACAGAAGCGGAAAUAUGCAUCAUCAUUCUGGUUAAAUCCCUGAAUCUCCUAUUUGCUCUAGACGCAAAUGUACAUUUAAAGAUCCGAAAGCAUGAAAUCUAUCUUAAGAUUAUAUGAUACAGAACCCCACCGGAAACCUAUGGCUAUCAUACAUUAAUUAUCUUUAUUACAUUACAAUUGAAUGGCCGUAGACACGUUGUUAGCAGAGAAAAAAGGCGGUUGUGUUAUGUUUGGAGACGCAUGUUGUACUUACAUCCUGAAUAACACUGAUUCUAAUGGUAUUGUGGCGAAGGCGCUCCACGGCCUUCAGAAUCUCAGCUAACUCUGGUAUAGGUUCUUCCUCUUGGAAUUGGCUAGACGAAAUGUCUGGAAAAUGGAAAUCUGUUCUCAUGUCCACAGCUGUUUCCUUUAUUAUUGUGAUGGCUGUGAUUCUCUUGUUUGGUUUUUGCGUUAUCCCACUGGUUAGAGGUCUCAUCAUGCGUGCGACCUCAGCAACACUCUCGUAUGAGAUGACACAAUGCACUAUGUUCAAAAACCCCAACUCUAAUUUACUUAAUGACUUUGACGAUGAUCUUAGGCUAUCUAAUCACAAAAUAUAAUCUGAUACAAAUAUGAUUAUGAGCUUAUUUUCUUCACAUGCCAAUACAGAGGUUAUUCUUGUAUAACUACCCAAAAACAGCUCCCAACCUUUUGUCCCUUAGUUACUUCCAUUUUAUGUGAAGGUGUAUUUUGAAUCUUGAUGAGUUAAUACCCUUAUUGUUUCAUUUGCAAGGAUCUUUUAUUAUUACAGAAUGUGAUGUUGACAAUUUUUCUUCUUAGUGGUUGAUUAAUGUGUAAUCAAAAGGGGGGAGUGUUAUGGCAAAAAUUGUCUCUUCCUUAUUUCUAUGUGUCUUCCUUACUUCUAUGCAGUUAUUAUAUGAUUUAUGACUUAUGUUCUGCAAUUAAUAUCUUAUGUUUUGUCUUACUGUAUGCAUUUGACAUUUCACCUAGAUUGUUCAAUGGUUGUCUCUGCCUGAUAGACUCUCAACUCUAGCUCCCAAACCCAAGGUCGGGGAGUUGUGUCUCUGUCUGUUGAGACUUGGUGCUCCUUUCUCACAGAUAGUUGGACGUCAGCGAUGCAGGUGUGAGAAAGUAAAUAUCUUCACACACACUGCGACAGGGAGGAGAUGGUGCAUGUAAUUUGAUUGGGUUAGAAAGACAUUCCACCCUAGUCGGACAGAGAAGCUAAAAGGCAGAAGCAACUUGAGGAUCGUGGGCUCUUUGCAUCACACCUUCGUGGUGUGUGCACUGAUCUCCCCAGCUGGUUUUUGUUUCUUUAUUAUUUCAAUAAAUUGCACAAAAGGACAA